rnacentral:rRNA from 1 species
UAGGGAAUCUUCGGCAAUGGGGGCAACCCUGACCGAGCAACGCCGCGUGAGUGAAGAAGGUUUUCGGAUCGUAAAGCUCUGUUGUAAGUCAAGAACGAGUGUGAGAGUGGAAAGUUCACACUGUGACGGUAGCUUACCAGAAAGGGACGGCUAACUACGUGCCAGCAGCCGCGGUAAUACGUAGGUCCCGAGCGUUGUCCGGAUUUAUUGGGCGUAAAGCGAGCGCAGGCGGUUCGAUAAGUCUGAAGUUAAAGGCUGUGGCUCAACCAUAGUUCGCUUUGGAAACUGUCAAACUUGAGUGCAGAAGGGGAGAGUGGAAUUCCAUGUGUAGCGGUGAAAUGCGUAGAUAUAUGGAGGAACACCGGUGGCGAAAGCGGCUCUCUGGUCUGUAACUGACGCUGAGGCUCGAAAGCGUGGGGAGCGAACAGGAUUAGAUACCCUGGUAGUCCACGCCGUAAACGAUGAGUGCUAGGUGUUGGGUCCUUUCCGGGAUUCAGUGCCGCAGCUAACGCAUUAAGCACUCCGCCUGGGGAGUACGACCGCAAGGUUG